rnacentral:rRNA from 1 species
UACGGAAGGGGGCUAGCGUUGUUCGGAUUUACUGGGCGUAAAGCGCACGUAGGCGGAUCGUUAAGUCGGGGGUGAAAUCCUGGAGCUCAACUCCAGAACUGCCUUCGAUACUGGCGAUCUUGAGUCCGGAAGAGGUGAGUGGAACUCCUAGUGUAGAGGUGGAAUUCGUAGAUAUUAGGAAGAACACCAGUGGCGAAGGCGGCUCACUGGUCCGGUACUGACGCUGAGGUGCGAAAGCGUGGGGAGCAAACAGG